GACGAACCGUGCGAACGUUGUUCGGAAUCACUGGGCUUAAAGGGCGCGUAGGCGGGCUGCCAAGUCAGGGGUGAAAGCCCACGGCUCAACCGUGGAAGUGCCUUUGAUACUGGCGGUCUAGAGGGAGGUAGGGGCGUGCGGAACUUCCGGUGGAGCGGUGAAAUGCGUAGAUAUCGGAAGGAACACCGGUGGCGAAAGCGGCGCGCUGGACCUCUUCUGACGCUGAGGCGCGAAAGCCAGGGGAGCAAACGGG
rnacentral:rRNA from 1 species